GACUCGGUGGUGGAUGGACUGCGUCCACGAGACAUUAUUACUUUGAAAUUGACUGUAUAAGUUGCCUGUUCGAUUCAGGCCCGAGUCA